GACGAACGCUGGCGGCGUGCCUAAUACAUGCAAGUAGAACGCUGAAGAGAGGAGCUUGCUCUUCUUGGAUGAGUUGCGAACGGGUGAGUAACGCGUAGGUAACCUGCCUUGUAGCGGGGGAUAACUAUUGGAAACGAUAGCUAAUACCGCAUAACAAUGGAUGACACAUGUCAUUUAUUUGAAAGGGGCAAUUGCUCCACUACAAGAUGGACCUGCGUUGUAUUAGCUAGUAGGUGAGGUAAUGGCUCACCUAGGCGACGAUACAUAGCCGACCUGAGAGGGUGAUCGGCCACACUGGGACUGAGACACGGCCCAGACUCCUACGGGAGGCAGCAGUAGGGAAUCUUCGGCAAUGGGGGCAACCCUGACCGAGCAACGCCGCGUGAGUGAAGAAGGUUUUCGGAUCGUAAGGCUCUGUUGUAAGUCAAGAACGGGUGUGAGAGUGGAAAGUUCACACUGUGACGGUAGCUUACCAGAAAGGGACGGCUAACUACGUG
rnacentral:rRNA from 1 species